GCACCACACAGAAUUCCACAGAAUUCCAUAGGGCCAGCUGCAGACUUGGAAGGGACAUUUUACCCCCACCCUCUGGAGACCCAAGGCUCCUGGCUACUGGGCCUAUAGGGAGGCAGGAAGCUUCAGGCCUUCGUUUACCAGCAGGAAGGGAGGCUGGAAAGGGCUGCAGGUUCCUGUGUGCUGGAGAAAGCCAAAAAAUCCUGUCCAGCUGUUCUAUGCAGAGGCCAGUUGCCGGGAACUUUAAUCAGCAUGGCAUGUUUCUCUGGAAGGAUGCUGGGAGUUUCAUUCUCUCCGUGGUGAGGGUCUCACUCUUCAUCUCCUUGGAGACUCGUGUCUGUCUUCCCUUCUACCUGUGUCCUCCGUGACUGGCUGGGUCAUGUCCCCUCUCCACCCUUGCUUGUCAGUGUAGUUGUGUCCUUGUCACUGACCUCCCACCCUUGGUAAGUUUUCUCCAAACCACUUACUUGUGUUUCACCCU
rnacentral:lncRNA from 1 species